rnacentral:rRNA from 1 species
GGUUUGAUCAUGGCUCGAUUGAACGCUGGCGGAUGCUUUACACAUGCAAGUCGAACGGCAGCACGGACUUCGGUCUGGUGGCGAGUAGCCCGAACAGGUGAGUAAUGUAUCGGAACGUGCCUAGUAGCGGGGGAUAACUACGCGAAAGCGUAGCUAAUACCGCAUACGCCCUUCGGGGAAAGCGGGGGACCUUCGGGCCUCGCACUAUUAGAGCAGCCGAUAUCGGAUUAGCUAGUUGGUGGGGGUAACGGCUCACCAAGGCGACGAUCCAUGUCAGCUGGAACGAGAGGACGACCAGCCACACUGGGACUGAGACACGGCCCAGACUCCUACAGGAGGCAGCAGUGAUUUUGGACAAUGGAAACCCUGAUCCAGCCAUCCCGCGUGUGCGAUGAAGGCCUUCCGGGUUGUAAAGCACUUUUGGCAGGGAGAAAACGGCACGGGAUAAUACCCGAUGCAACUGACGUACCUGCAGAACCAGCGCACCGGCUAACUACGUGCCAGCAGCCGCGGUAAUACGUAGGGUGCAAGCGUUAAUCGGAAUUACUGGGCGUAAAGCGUGCGCAGGCGGUUCGGAAAGAAGAUGUGAAAUCCCAGAGCUUAACUUUGGAACUGCAUUUUUAACUACCGAGCUAGAGUGUGUCAGAGGGAGGUGGAAUUCGCGUGUAGCAGUGAUGCGUAGAUAUGGGAGAGACUUGCACCAUUUGGCGAGGCAACCUCCUGGGAUAACACUGACGCUCAUGCACGAAAGCGUGGGAGCAAACAGGAUUAGAUACCUGGUAGUCCACGCCCUAAACGAUGUCAACUGGCUAUUUUGGGCCUUCGGGCCUUGGUAGCGCAGCUAACGCGUGAAGUUGACCGCCUGUGGGAGUACGGUCGCAAGAUUAAAACUCAAAGGGUGACGGGGACCCGCACAAGCGGUGGAUGAUGUGGAUUAAUUCGAUGCAACGCGAAAAACCUUACCUACCCUUGACAUGUCUGGAAUCCCGAAGAGAUUUAGGAGUGCUCGCAAGAGCAGAACACAGGUGCUGCAUGGCUGUCGUCAGCUCGUGUCGUGAGAUGUUGGGUUAAGUCCCGCAACGAGCGCAACCCUUGUCAUUAGUUGCUACGGGCACUCUAAUGAGACUGCCGGUGACAAACCGGAGGAAGGUGGGGAUGACGUCAAGUCCUCGCGGCCCGCGCCAUGGGUAGGGCUUCACACGUCAUACAAUGGUCGGGACAGAGGGUCGCCAACCCGCGAGGGGAACAAUCCGAAACCCGAUCGUAGUCGGAUCGCAGUCUGCAACUCGACUGCGUGAAGUCGGAAUCACGCUAGUAAUCGCGGAUCAGCAUGUCGCGGUGAAUACGUUCCCGGGUCUUGUACACCGCCCGUCACACCAUGGGAGUGGGUUUACCAGAAGUAGUUAGCCUAACCGUAAGGAGGGCGAUUACCACGAGUAGUUCAUGACUGGGGUGAAGUCGACUAACAGGUA